GAAUAAAGCAAGCAAGGUAAUGAGCACAGAAUUUGAAGGGGGACUCUAGGUCUGCCCUCUCUGAUACCUUUCGGCUUUGAUUUGGAGCAUGGUUCCCCAGCACAACU